ACUCCGCCUCGUCGACGGGCAUGAUCUGGACCUUCAGCGUCCAGCUCGGGAACUCGCCGCGCUCGAUGGCGUUCCACAGGUCGGCGCGGUG
rnacentral:tRNA from 1 species